GAGAACAUGAUCGUUUGGUACGA
rnacentral:snRNA from 1 species